ACGGUGUAUGGAAGGUUUAUAAUCAAAGAGUAUAGUGUAUAGUAGUAUUAUAUUUAGAGGAUACAGUGUCUGGCAGGUUUAUAAUAAUUAUUGUUUUCAUAUAGAGGAUGAGAAUCCGCUGACAUAGUGAGGAGACGUCUGGGCGUCACAUUCUACAGACAGAAGUUUUAGCUGGACCAGGCGGUGUAUUAACCACUUCUAGCCCGCCAAAGCGUAAGACAUUAACAUCGUUAUUGGGCUACAGUUUUAAGAUGAUCACCUAUGGUGCGAUCCUUACGAUAGGUGAUGAUGGGUCACUGUCGUGUCACUGUCUUCAGG